CCUACGGGAGGCUGCAGUGGGGAAUAUUGGACAAUGGGCGAAAGCCUGAUCCAGCCAUGCCGCGUGUGUGAAGAAGGCCUUCGGGUUGUAAAGCACUUUCAGUGGGGAAGAAAGCCUUGGGGCUAAUACCCUCGAGGAAGGACAUCACCCACAGAAGAAGCACCGGCUAACUCCGUGCCAGCAGCCGCGGUAAUACGGAGGGUGCGAGCGUUAAUCGGAAUUACUGGGCGUAAAGCGCGCGUAGGCGGUCUGAUAAGCCGGUUGUGAAAGCCCCGGGCUCAACCUGGGAACGGCAUCCGGAACUGUCAGGCUAGAGUGCAGGAGAGGAAGGUAGAAUUCCCGGUGUAGCGGUGAAAUGCGUAGAGAUCGGGAGGAAUACCAGUGGCGAAGGCGGCCUUCUGGACUGACACUGACGCUGAGGGGCGAAAGCGUGGGUAGCAAACAGGAUUAGAUACCCGAGUAGUC
rnacentral:rRNA from 1 species